rnacentral:rRNA from 1 species
GACGAACGCUGGCGGCGUGCUUAACACAUGCAAGUCGAACGAUGAAGCCGGAGCUUGCUCUGGUGAAUUAGUGGCGAACGGGUGAGUAACACGUGAGUAACCUGCCCUUGACUCUGGGAUAACUGCGGGAAACUGUAGCUAAUACCGGAUACGACCCUCGGAGGCAUCUCCUGGGGGUGGAAAGAAUUUCGGUCAAGGAUGGACUCGCGGCCUAUCAGCUAGUUGGUGAGGUAAAGGUUCACCAAGGCGACGACGGGUAGCCGGCCUGAGAGGGUGACCGGCACACUGGGACUGAGACACGGCCCAGACUCCUACGGGAGGCAGCAGUGGGGAAUAUUGCACAAUGGGCGCAAGCCUGAUGCAGCAACGCCGCGUGAGGGAUGACGGCCUUCGGGUUGUAAACCUCUUUUAGCAGGGAAGAAGCGAAAGUGACGGUACCUGCAGAAAAAGCACCGGCUAACUACGUGCCAGCCGCCGCAGUAA